rnacentral:rRNA from 1 species
GUUAGUGGCGAAAGGGUGAGGAAUAGAUAGGAACGUACCCUGUGCUCGGCGAGAGCGUCUGAAGCUUCGGCUUCUUCCGAAAGGGGCGGUAAUACCAGAUAAUGUCCUUCGGGACCAAAGAUUUAUCGGCAUUGGAGCGGCCUAUCUCCUAUCAGCUUGUUGGUGAGGUAACGGCUCACCAAGGCAACGACGGGUAGCGGGACUGAGAGGUUGGCCCGNCACAUCGGGACUGAGACACUGCCCGGACCUCCACGGAGGGCUGCAGUAACGGAUAUUGGGCAAUGGGCGAAAGCCUGACCCAGCAAUGCCGCGUGCAGGAUGAAGCCCCUAGGGGUGUAAACUGCUGUCAGGGGUCAGAAAGCUGGUUUCGGCCAGUUGAUCAACCCCAGAGGAAGUCACGGCUAACUUCGUGCCAGCAGCCGCGGUAAUACGAAGGUGGCAAGCGUUAUUCGGAAUCAUUGGGCUUAAAGGGCACGCAUGCGGAACAGUGUGUGUUGUGUGAAAUCCCCCGGCUUAAACCGGGGAAUUGCACAGCAAACUGCUGUUCUUGAGGCAGGUAGGGGUGCAAUGGAACUCUUGGUGGAGCGGUGGAAUGCGUAGAUAUCAAGAGGAACGCCAGAGGUGAAGACGGUGCACUGGGCCUGUCCUGACGCUGAGGUGCGAAAGCGUGGGGAGCGAACGGGAUUAGAUACCCCGGUAGUCCACGCCGUAAACGAUGUCUACUAGGUCGUGGGUGUUCUGACACAUUCACGGCCGGAGCAAAAGUGUUUAGUAGACCGCCUGGGGAGUACGGCCGCAAGGUUAAAACUCAAAUGAAUUGACGGGGGCUCACACGAGCGGUGGAGCAUGUGGAUUAAUUCGAAGCAACGCGCAGAACCUUACCUGGGUUUGACAUGCUUGUAUGCCUUCUCUGAAAGGAGUUAGGCUGCCUUCGGGUGAAACUUGCACAGGUGCUGCAUGGCUGUCGUCAGCUCGUGUCGUGAGAUGUCGGGUUAAGUCCUUUAACGAGCGAAACCCUUGCCGUUAGUUGCCAGCGAGUAAUGUCGGGGACUCUAACGGGACUGCCGGUGUUAAACCGGAGGAAGGUGGGGAUGACGUCAAGUCCUCAUGGCCUUUAUGCCCAGGGCUUCACACGUGCUACAAUGGCAAUUACAGAGCGACGCGAUACCGCGAGGUGGAGCAAAUCGCAAAAAAAUUGCCUCAGUUCGGAUUGCAGGCUGGCAAUUCGCCUGCAUGAAGUCGGAAUCGCUAGUAAUCGCGUAUCAGCAAUGACGCGCUGCAUGUGUUCCUGAGCNUUGUACACACCGCUCGUCAAGUGAUGGAAGCCGGGAGUACCCGAAGUCGGGUUGCUAACC